GGUCCUCUAACUAAAAAUUGAUUUAUUUCGGUCCUCUAAGUUUCUCACCGUUACUACAUUUAGUCAUUUCUGUUAGUUUUAUUCAAAUAAACGUUAGAGUUUGUGUUAUGUGGGUCCUCUAACUUUAUUUAUUAGUAUCAUUUUGGUCCUAUGCCUUGUUAAGGUAUUAUGAUUAAAUAGUGACUGAUAUUAUUGGUAACUGUUAUGGUUCAUAUGUAUGUGUGAAACAAGAGGUCAGGUACCCACAUAAUACAAACCCUAACGUUUAUU
rnacentral:lncRNA from 1 species